rnacentral:rRNA from 1 species
UACAGAGGGUGCAAGCGUUGCUCGGAAUCAUUGGGCGUAAAGGGUAGGUAGGUGGUCUCAUUUGUCUGGGGUGAAAGCCUUGAGCUUAACUCAAGAAGUGCCCCGGAAACGGUGAGACUGGAGUCUUGGAGAGGGUCGUGGAAUUCCCGGUGUAGCGGUGAAAUGCGUAGAGAUCGGGAGGAACACCAGAGGCGAAGGCGGCGACCUGGACAAGCACUGACACUGAGACGCGAAGGCGUGGGGAGCGAACGGG